rnacentral:tRNA from 1 species
CGCGGGGUGGAGCAGCGGCCCGGUAGCUCGUCGGGCUCAUAACCCGAAGGCCGCAGGUUCAAAUCCUGCCCCCGCAACCA